rnacentral:rRNA from 1 species
GGGAUAACUAUUGGAAACGAUAGCUAAUACCGCAUAACAAUGGAUGACACAUGUCAUUUAUUUGAAAGGGGCAAUUGCUCCACUACAAGAUGGACCUGCGUUGUAUUAGCUAGUAGGUGAGGUAAUGGCUCACCUAGGCGACGAUACAUAGCCGACCUGAGAGGGUGAUCGGCCACACUGGGACUGAGACACGGCCCAGACUCCUACGGGA